rnacentral:rRNA from 1 species
GUACAUACAUACCAAAUGUGAGACUGCGGACGGCUCAGUAAAUCAGUUAUAAUCUGCUCGAUUGUUAAAGGUUAGUGGAUAACCGUGGGAAAUCUAGAGCUAAUACAUGUAAUCAAGAGUGAGAGUCAAAUCCCACUCGACGGCAUUUAUUAGAAAAUGACCAAUCGUAAUGCAAAUUACGUGGUGAAUCUAGAUAACUUUGCAGAUCGUAUGGCCUUGAGCUGACGACAUUUCGAUUGAAUUUCUGCCCUAUCAACUUUUGUCGGUAGUGUAGUGGACUACCGAGGUUUUUACGGGUGACGGGGGAUCAGGGUUCGAUUCCGGAGAGGGUAGCCUGAGAAACGGCUACCACAUCCAAGGAAGGCAGCAGGCGCGCAAAUUACCCAAUCCAGACAAUGGGAGGUGGUGACGAAAAGUACCGGAUGACGGUCUUAGAUUGUCAAUCUGGAAUGGAAUCAAUUUAAGCAAUUGAUUGAGAAACGACUGGAGGGCAAGUCUGGUGCCAGCAGCCGCGGUAAUUCCAGCUCCAGUAGCGUAUCUCAAAGUUGCUGCGCUUAAAACGCUCGUAGUUGGAUCACAAACUAUGUAUCGGUAGAUAGUGAUGGUUAUGUCAAAUUUAAAGAUUUAAUGAUGUGUUCUCAUGUUGUUAAUGAUUUAAAUGAUGUAAGAUUAUUAUCGUAAGCUGAUAGAUAGUAAUUGCACGUGAGGAUAUAGAUUGGCCUUGAAUGUGCUGAUUAGUGUGUCUCACGGAGUGUGCCUUGAGUAAAUCAGAGUGCUUAAAGCAGGCUUGACGCUUGAAUGUUAUAGCAUGGAACGAACAAUCGUGUUAUUUGUAUACUGUACAAUGUUUGUUAGACUAUGUUUAGCAGGCAACAGUAUAUGACACCGACUACCAAUUACGGAUGUUGGUUCCGUAUUGGGGUAUUGAUUAAGAGGAGCGGUUGGGGGCAUUGGUAUUUGGCAGCGAGAGGUGAAAUUCUUGGACCUGUCAAGGACUAACAAAUGCGAAGGCAUUUGUCCAGACCGUAUCCAUUAAUCAAGAACGAUAGUGAGAGGUUCGAAGACGAUCAGAUACCGUCCUAGUUCUCACUGUAAACUAUGCCGACUCGGGAUCAGUUUGGAGCUUUGUUCCAUGCUCGAGGUUGGUCCCCCUAGGAAACUUGAAGUUUUUCGGUUGCGGGGGGAGUAUGGUCGCAAGGCUGAAACUUAAAGGAAUUGACGGAAGGGCACCACCAGGGGUGGAGCCUGCGGCUUAAUUUGACUCAACACGGGAAAACUUACCUGGUCCGAACAUCCGAAGGAUACACAGACCGAUAGAUCUUUGUUGAUGGGGUGAAAAGUGGUGCAUGGCCGUUCUUAGUUCGUGGAGUGAUCUGUCAGGCCUAUCCCGGUAACGAACGAGACUACAUUCUCCACUUGACGAACCGAAGAAGGUGGUUAUUGUCAAAUUUUUGGCAACAAAAGUUUGGUGAUAAUUGCUGUCGGUAGUAUGAUGUGUGUUUUUUUAAUGAGUCAAUUCAAUUCGUUUUGAUAAAGAGAUUAAAUGCACUUGUGCUCCCUUCGGUCUAGCAAUGCUUUAUUUUUUUAAAUAACGUAUUGUAUCAUGGAGAGACAGCGGAACAUAUUCCAAAAUCCGAGGAAGUGUAGCUAUAACAGGUCCGUGAUGCCCUUAGAUGUUCAGGGCUGCACGCGCGCUACAAUGAUAGCAACAACGAGUUUCUGAAUCGAAAGAUUUGGGUAAUCUUGCAAUUGCUAUCGUGAUGGGGAUCGACGUUUGUAAAUACGUCGUGAAAGAGGAAUCCCUAGUACGUGCGAUUCAUGCAGAUCGCGCGGAUUGCGUCCCUGCCCUUUGUACACACCGCCCGUCGCUACUACCGAGUGAAUGGUGUCAUAAUACCUUGGGAGCGGACGUCGCCUGGGCCUUGUGCUUGGUGUGACGCUGCGAUCAGCGUAGAAUAGC